AACGUAGGAGACAACCGUUAUCCGGAGUUACUGGGCGUAAAGCGCGUGUAGGCGGCCCGGCACGUCAUCGGCUGAAAUCCCUCGGCUUAACCGGGGAACUGCAUCUGAUACUGGAUGGCUUGAGUUCGGGAGAGGGAUGCGGAAUUCCAGGUGUAGCGGUGAAAUGCGUAGAUAUCUGGAGGAACACCGGUGGCGAAGACGGCAUCCUGGACCGACACUGACGCUGAGGAGCGAAAGCCAGGGGAGCAAACGGG
rnacentral:rRNA from 1 species